AUGUUCGUAUCGUUAGGUUGUAAGCUCGCCAAGCGGAAUGUGAGGUGUUAUUCCUCCAGUUUGUGCGUGGCCUCACUCUGGCAAUCAAGACACAGGACAGAAAGGUCAGUCUGGGGAUAGAAAUGGGA